GUUGGUUUACACGAAGCCUGUGAGCGGCUCCUCACUAGUGCAACAAUGCAUAGUCAUCUGCGCGCAGGUAUAAUAAUUCAGAUCUUCAUUGGCACCUUUGCCACCUAUAGCGAUCCACAGCUAACUGGCCCAGGAACUGUGGGAGAACUUAUAACAGCCCUCAACACCAGUGAACCAAUCUGGUUGAUGAGAAGAACGUACACCAUAGCGGACCAGAUUUGCGUCUAUACACAAAUGCUGAAAUUCGGCGAUAGCGGAAACACUUACGACUUUGUGUAUGCCUACACGAAAGAUGGCAAGCCGCAACAAGAACGUUUACACGCAGAUCUGCUGAAUACCGCUGAGGGUGCUGCAAUGCAAGUACACAAAGCGAGAGG
rnacentral:lncRNA from 1 species